rnacentral:rRNA from 1 species
GAUGAACGCUGGCGGCGUGCCUAAUACAUGCAAGUCGAACGCACAGCGAAAGGUGCUUGCACCUUUCAAGUGAGUGGCGAACGGGUGAGUAACACGUGGACAACCUGCCUCAAGGCUGGGGAUAACAUUUGGAAACAGAUGCUAAUACCGAAUGAAACUUAGUGUCGCAUGAUACGAAGUUAAAAGGCGCUUUGGCGUCACCUAGAGAUGGAUCCGCGGUGCAUUAGUUAGUUGGUGGGGUAAAGGCCUACCAAGACAAUGAUGCAUAGCCGAGUUGAGAGACUGAUCGGCCACAUUGGGACUGAGACACGGCCCAAACUCCUACGGGAGGCUGCAGUAGGGAAUCUUCCACAAUGGGCGAAAGCCUGAUGGAGCAACGCCGCGUGUGUGAUGAAGGCUUUCGGGUCGUAAAGCACUGUUGUAUGGGAAGAACAGCUAGAAUAGGGAAUGAUUUUAGUUUGACGGUACCAUACCAGAAAGGGACGGCUAAAUACGUG